AACGAACGCUGGCGGCAUGCCUAACACAUGCAAGUCGAACGCGUGUAGCAAUACACGAGUGGCGGACGGGUGAGUAACGCGUGGGAACCUGCCCAAUGGUAGGGAAUAACUGCGGGAAACUGCAGCUAAUACCCUAUGCUCCCUACGGGGGAAAGAUUUAUCGCCAUUGGAGGGGCCCGCGUCGGAUUAGCUAGUUGGCGGGGUAACGGCCCACCAAGGCUACGAUCCGUAGCUGGUCUGAGAGGAUGAUCAGCCACACUGGGACUGAGAUACGGCCCAGACUCCUACGGGAGGCAGCAGUGGGGAAUAUUGGACAAUGGGGAAACCCUGAUCCAGCAAUGCCGCGUGAGUGAAGAAGGCCUUAGGGUUGUAAAGCUCUUUCGGCGGGACGAUGGUGACGGUACCCGCAGAAGAAGCCCCGGCUAACUUCGUGCCAGCAGCCGCCGCGGUAAG
rnacentral:rRNA from 1 species